rnacentral:lncRNA from 1 species
CCUCAUAGGCUCUCCUUCAUGGUGGUUGCCAAGGAGAAAGACAGGGAUCUUGCCUCUCUCUGCUGCUCCUCCAGGCCAGCUCCAAACAGACACGUCCUCCACAGGGCUUCUUGGAUCCCCCUAAAUCACCACAUUCCCACAUCUCCAGAUCUGUCUGACCACCCAACCAUUUUGCAAUUUCUUGUGGAAUUAUUGUUGGGUUGCAGUUUGUUGUUUUACAUGUGUUACUCUCCCUAGCAAGAUUCAUUCACCAUCCACUCAUGCAUGUAUCCAACCCACAUUUAUUGAGUACUGACUAUAUGUUUGAUUUCAUUCAGGAUACUGAGAAUAUAGGGGCAAUCCUGGCAGAUAUGCUACCUGCCUUCUUGGAGCUUAUAGUCUCAACAAAUCAGUUGUUUAAUUACAAUAAUUGGGACUGUCAUGACAGGAAAGUACACAUGGGAUUCUGACCCAUCAGGAAUUAUACACGUCUCAAGGCCAGAUACCAAGUUUGUCUUUUCAAGUUGUGGGAUGACCUUGGUCUUACUAUAGAACAAGGAACCAUGAUACAAUUGGCAAACCACAGACGGUCUGCUAGUAUCCUCUUCUCCAGCAUAAUCAGAAGCCAUGGGCUCACCCCGACUCCUCCUCCUCCCUCACUUCUUGUGCCAAAUAUGUGUUGUGGGCUCCCAGCCAGCACUCACCCUUCUGUAUUCUCUGUCUCUCUGGGGCUGAAAUCCUGUGAAUUCCAUCACCCAGAUUUCCAUGCCAGCUGGGUUCCAGAUAGGUUCAGCCAGGAGGCAGCAUUCUCAACAAGUUAGAAGAUAGAGGGACGCUAGAAACCCAUCUACUUCUAGUGACACCUCUGCAAAUAGUGACAUCUCGGUUUCCAGCAGUAUCUUUGCAGCAGCUCCACUAAUAUUAGUGCCAACACCACA